rnacentral:rRNA from 1 species
UACGGAGGAUCCAAGCGUUAUCCGGAUUUAUUGGGUUUAAAGGGUGCGUAGGCGGCUUUUUAAGUCAGGGGUGAAAGACGGUGGGCUCAACCAUCGCAGUGCCCUUGAUACUGAAGAGCUUGAAUGGACUAGAGGUAGGCGGAAUGUGACAAGUAGCGGUGAAAUGCAUAGAUAUGUCACAGAACACCGAUUGCGAAGGCAGCUUUACUAUGGUUUAAUUUGACGCUGAGGCACGAAAGCGUGGGAUCAAACAGGA